GCACAAUGCAAGGACUAUCUCCAGAUUUUCACCACAUUCAAAUAUGCCAUUUUAUCUACCUCCCAUGUGGAUCCUCUCUGGAUUUAACAGAGUUAUGGUUUAGAUGUACUAGCUCUAUACGAGAUACAGCCUAUUUGUGCCUGGUGGAACUGUUCCUCUCUAGCGUGCUUGAGUGAUUUUUUGUGUUCCUUUUUGCUCUUACUGGCCCGUGGGCUUGCAUGUUUGCUGGAAAGGAUCAACAUGCCCUCCAUUUUCUGACAUCUGCCAUGUUAGGAAAGUGGCGGGCAGUCCAUCGGCCUUAGAUGAUAACAGUAACACUGGGCAACACUACACCACGUAACUACGUACACCACGUACAUUAUUCUAAUGUAUUAUUUCAUAACGGUGCUAGGCUGGCUUAGAUAUCACCUCUAAUUAUGUCUGUAGAUUUUUGACCACACCCUCCAUACAUCAAGAAAUUUGACGCGCUGGGGACAGAAUCUCCUUCCUAUUUACACCACAUUUUACUGAUUCUAUCAUUUUUAUCUGAGUGAAAAUGCUCCCUGAAAAAAACAAAACAUUUAACACCAUUAACUCCAGAGAUGUUUUCUAC